rnacentral:rRNA from 1 species
UACGUAGAGGGCGAGCGUUGUCCGGAAUUAUUGGGCGUAAAGAGCUCGUAGGCGGCUUGGCAAGUCGGAUGUGAAAACUCCAGGCUCAACCUGGAGCCGCCAUUCGAUACUGCUAUGGCUAGAGUCCGGUAGGGGAGUGUGGAAUUCCCGGUGUAGCGGUGAAAUGCGCAGAUAUCGGGAGGAACACCGAUGGCGAAGGCAGCACUCUGGGCCGGCACUGACGCUGAGGAGCGAAAGCGUGGGGAGCGAACAGG